rnacentral:rRNA from 1 species
AUACGGAGGGUGCAAGCGUUACUCGGAAUCACUGGGCGUAAAGCGCGCGCAGGCGGCUAUUUAAGUUGGAUGUGAAAGCCUACGGCUCAACCGUAGAACUGCAUCCAAAACUAUUUAGCUAGAGUGUGGGAGAGGAAGAUGGAAUUAGUUGUGUAGGGGUAAAAUCCGUAGAGAUAACUAGGGAUACCAAAAGCGAAGGCAAUCUUCUGGAACACUACUGACGCUGAGGCGCGAAAGCGUGGGGAGCAAACAGGAUUAGAUACCCUGGUAGUCC